AGAGUUUGAUCCUGGCUCAGGACGAACGCUGGCGGCGCGCCUAACACAUGCAAGUCGAACGGAGCUUAGAGAGCUUGCUUUUUAAGCUUAGUGGCGAACGGGUGAGUAACGCGUGAGUAACCUGCCCUAGAGUGGGGGACAACAGUUGGAAACGACUGCUAAUACCGCAUAAGCCCACGGUACCGCAUGGUACUGAGGGAAAAGGAUUUAUUCGCUUUAGGAUGGACUCGCGUCCAAUUAGCUAGUUGGUGAGGUAACGGCCCACCAAGGCGACGAUUGGUAGCCGGACUGAGAGGUUGAACGGCCACAUUGGGACUGAGACACGGCCCAGACUCCUACGGGAGGCAGCAGUGGGGGAUAUUGCACAAUGGGGGAAACCCUGAUGCAGCGACGCCGCGUGGAGGAAGAAGGUUUUCGGAUUGUAAACUCCUGUCGUUAGGGACGAUAAUGACGGUACCUAACAAGAAAGCACCGGCUAACUACGUGCCAGCAGCCGCGGUAAAACGUAGGGUGCAAGCGUUGUCCGGAAUUACUGGGUGUAAAGGGAGCGCAGGCGGGAAGACAAGUUGGAAGUGAAAACCAUGGGCUCAACCCAUGAAUUGCUUUCAAAACUGUUUUUCUUGAGUAGUGCAGAGGUAGAUGGAAUUCCCGGUGUAGCGGUGGAAUGCGUAGAUAUCGGGAGGAACACCAGUGGCGAAGGCGGUCUACUGGGCACCAACUGACGCUGAGGCUCGAAAGCAUGGGUAGCAAACAGGAUUAGAUACCCUGGUAGUCCAUGCCGUAAACGAUGAUUACUAGGUGUUGGAGGAUUGACCCCUUCAGUGCCGCAGUUAACACAAUAAGUAAUCCACCUGGGGAGUACGACCGCAAGGUUGAAACUCAAAGGAAUUGACGGGGGCCCGCACAAGCAGUGGAGUAUGUGGUUUAAUUCGAAGCAACGCGAAGAACCUUACCAGGUCUUGACAUCCAAC
rnacentral:rRNA from 1 species